UACAGAGGGUGCGAGCGUUGUCCGGAAUCACUGGGCGUAAAGGGCGCGUAGGUGGUGGCUUAAGCGUGCGGUGAAAGCUCGGAGCUCAACUCCGAGUCGGCCGUGCGAACUGGGCUCACUGGAGCAUAGUAGAGGCAGGUGGAAUUCCGGGUGUAGCGGUGGAAUGCGUAGAGAUCGGGAAGAAUACCUGUGGCGAAGGCGGCCAGCUGGGCCAGAUCCGACACUGAGGCGCGAAAGCGUGGGGAGCAAACAGG
rnacentral:rRNA from 1 species